rnacentral:rRNA from 1 species
CCUACGGUGAGCAGCAGUGAGGAAUAUUGGUCAAUGGACGGAAGUCUGAACCAGCCAUGCCGCGUGCAGGAAGACGGCUCUAUGAGUUGUAAACUGCUUUUGUACAAGGGUAAACCUGAAUACGUGUAUUCAGCUGAAAGUACUGUACGAAUAAGGCUCGGCUAACUCCGUGCCAGCAGCCGCGGUAAUACGGAGGAUCCAAGCGUUAUCCGGAUUUCUUGGGUUUAAAGGGUGCGUAGGCGGAUUGAUAAGUUAGAGGUGAAAUGUCCGAGCUUAACUCGGGACCUGCCUCUAAUACGGUUGAUCUAGGGAGUAGAGGCGGAAGGCGGAAGGUAUGGUGUAGCGGUGAAAUGCUUAGAGAUCAUACAGAAAACCGAUGGCGAAGGAAGCUUACCAAUCUAUAUCGGACGUUGAGGCACGAAAGCGUGGGGAGCAAACAGGAUUAGAUACCCUGGUAGUC